CAGUCGCCACGGGAAUACAGAGGGUGCGAGCGUUAAUCGGAUUUACUGGGCGUAAAGCGUGCGUAGGCGGCUUCUUAAGUCGGAUGUGAAAUCCCUGAGCUUAACUUAAGAAUUGCAUUCGAUACUGGGAAGCUAGAGUAUGGGAGAGGAUGGUAGAAUUCCAGGUGUAGCGGUGAAAUGCGUAGAGAUCUGGAGGAAUACCGAUGGCGAAGGCAGCCAUCUGGCCUAAUACUGACGCUGAGGUACGAAAGCAUGGGGAGCAAACAGGAUUAGAUACCCCCGUAGUCCCUGUCUCUUAUAU
rnacentral:rRNA from 1 species